ACUCAGCACCUGCCAUAUGUUCUUGCCCAAGCCAGUAGCCCAGCCCGCUCCUCUUGCCCCCGCAUCGACUCCACCGGAAGAAGCCCGUCACAGCCCAAAGCACCACCACGGCACCAUCAGCAUCACCGCCGAGAAGCAAGAACUGCCUCACCACAAAGCCUGCCGUCCGUGCGCUGCCCCAGCCAACCAAGCCACGGCAGCCACAGCCGGCCACGGCCUGCAGCCACAGCACGAAGUCAAGUAGCCCCUAGCGCCAGACACCUGCACUGGCCACGACCACCGUCGGUGCCGCCCGAGCCGGCCGCCGCCGCUGCCCGGCGUCCUGCCGCCCCACGCACAUCACACACCUCUCGUCGCACGGCCACCGGAUCCAGCCGAGGGAAUAUCGGAUCUGGUGGCCCUAUCCUCCUCCACCGCCAGCCCGUCAUCGCCGACGAGGAGGUCCGGGGGACCAGGCAGCCGCGUCCGCCCCAAUCCACCGGAGAAGAGAAGAGAGGGCCCCGCCGCCGCCUUCCCCGCAGGCCGCACGAGCAGCCGGCAUCCUGCUCGGGCAGCGGUGCGGCGAGAAGAGGCGAGGUGAGGAUGGCGGCGCCGCGGCGGCUAGGAUUAGGUGUCCGCUCGGUCGCCCGCGCGGGGGGCGACGCGAGCGUCUCCUUCUCUCUGAUGUAUAGAAAUAAAACCAUCUCAGAGCAAAUCGAUUCGCGCGGACACAUGCCGGCAUACAAGCGAGAGUCGCGCUGUCAUGCGGAUCAAGCACAACAUGAUCAGAGGCCUGACGACCGGAGUGUAGCAUCAGCUCUCUCUCUCUUGCAUGGCUUAGUGCAGAAGCACUGCUUGAACGGCGGCCGCCCGUUGCAUAAGCCUCCGGUGAAGCUCUGUUUGACGCAGACGGCGGCACAAUCCGUAUCGUGAAAGCACCUCCCUUUCUGUUCCUGGCUUCGCGACAUGCACGGAUUGGAUGAAUUUACUCACCAAAGGUCAGGAGGAGCAAGACCAAGACAGUUGCUGCUGCGACCUGGGCCUUCAUGACUGAAAUUAGGGAGAUUUGUUUUUGUCGAGUGAGGAGGAAAAGAGAAGGGCGCAG
rnacentral:misc_RNA from 1 species